UUUCCGUGAAGGAGCAAUUAUGGGAGACUUCUACCACAUUUACAUCUGUACAAAAGUGAAAAGACUAAAAUAUUUUAAUUAAUCUGAGGAGCUUGAAGUAGAAUAUCCUCCGGAGCAACAAAUCAAGAUAUUGGAGAAGAACUAUGUCUGUUUUCUAAUAAAAAAGCAGAAAAUGGACAGAUCUGGAAAUCUGGAAAUCCAAAUCUGUAUUGAAAAGUGAAAUGGGAAGAAACUUGGAGGAGUAGAGGACAGAGAAAUUAUAAUUAGAAAAUAUUGUAUGAAGAAAACCUGGUGAAGAAAAGAUGUACUAGACAAUGUGACUAUAAAAGCAUAUACUGUAUAUUAAAGCAAUAGUUUAACUCAUGUAAAUAAAUAUAUUUAAACAUA